rnacentral:rRNA from 1 species
UACGUAGGGUGUGAGCGUUAAUCGGAAUUACUGGGCGUAAAGCGUGCGCAGGCGGUUCGUGAUGUCUGAUGUGAAAGCCCCGGGCUCAACCUGGGAAUUGCAUUGGAAACUAGCGGGCUGGAGUGUGGCAGAGGGGGGUGGAAUUCCACGUGUAGCAGUGAAAUGCGUAGAGAUGUGGAGGAACACCGAUGGCGAAGGCAGCCCCCUGGGCUAACACUGACGCUCAUGCACGAAAGCGUGGGGAGCAAACAGG